CAGUAUCCGCGGUAAUACGAAGGGUGCAAGCGUUACUCGGAAUUACUGGGCGUAAAGCGUGCGUAGGUGGUGGUUUAAGUCCGUUGUGAAAGCCCUGGGCUCAACCUGGGAAUUGCAGUGGAUACUGGGUCACUAGAGUGUGGUAGAGGAUAGUGGAAUUUCCGGUGUAGCAGUGAAAUGCGUAGAGAUCGGAAGGAACAUCUGUGGCGAAGGCGACUAUCUGGGCCAACACUGACACUGAGGCACGAAAGCGUGGGGAGCAAACAGGAUUAGAUACCCCAGUAGUCCCUGUCUCUUAUAC
rnacentral:rRNA from 1 species